CUACGGGGGGCAGCAGUGGGGAAUAUUGGACAAUGGGGGAAACCCUGAUCCAGCAAUGCCGCGUGUGUGAAGAAGGCCUGCGGGUUGUAAAGCACUUUCGGUUGGGAGGACUGCUUCUAGCACUAAUAUUGCUGGAAGUUGACGUUACCUUCAGAAGAAGCACCGGCUAACUCCGUGCCAGCAGCCGCGGUAAUACGGAGGGUGCAAGGUUAAUCGGAAUUACUGGGCGUAAAGCGCGCGUAGGCGGCUAGAUCAGUCGGGUGUGAAAGCCCCGGGCUUAACCUGGGAACUGCAUCCGAUACUGUCUAGCUUGAGUACAGGAGAGGAGAGUGGAAUCCCACAUGUAGCGGUGAAAUGCGUAGAUAUGUGGAGGAACACCAAUGGCGAAGGCAGCUCUCUGGCCUGAUACUGACGCUGAGGUGCGAAAGCGUGGGGAGCAAACAGGAUUAGAUACCCUAGUAGUC
rnacentral:rRNA from 1 species